UAGAGUUUGAUCCUGGCUCAGGAUGAACGCUAGCGGCAGGCUUAACACAUGCAAGUCGAGGGGUAUAGUUCUUCGGAAUUAGAGACCGGCGCACGGGUGCGUAACGCGUAUGCAAUCUACCUUUUACAGAGGGAUAGCCCAGAGAAAUUUGGAUUAAUACCUCAUAGUAUUGCAGGAUGGCAUCAUCCAGUAAUUAAAGUCACAACGGUAAAAGAUGAGCAUGCGUCCCAUUAGCUAGUUGGUAAGGUAACGGCUUACCAAGGCUACGAUGGGUAGGGGUCCUGAGAGGGAGAUCCCCCACACUGGUACUGAGACACGGACCAGACUCCUACGGGAGGCAGCAGUGAGGAAUAUUGGACAAUGGGCGCAAGCCUGAUCCAGCCAUGCCGCGUGCAGGAUGACGGUCCUAUGGAUUGUAAACUGCUUUUAUACAGGAAGAAACACCUCUACGAGUAGAGACUUGACGGUACUGUAAGAAUAAGGAUCGGCUAACUCCGUGCCAGCAGCCG
rnacentral:rRNA from 1 species